rnacentral:tRNA from 1 species
GCAGUGGUGGUUUAAUGGUAGAAUCCUCACUUUCCAUCAGGAGACCCAGUUCAAUUCCUGGCCAAUGCA